rnacentral:rRNA from 1 species
UACGGGGGGAGCAAGCGUUGUUCGGAUUUACUGGGCGUAAAGGGCGCGUAGGCGGUCAGCACAAGUCAGUUGUGAAAUCUCCGGGCUUAACUCGGAAAGGUCAACUGAUACUGUGCGACUAGAGUGCAGAAGGGGCAACUGGAAUUCCCAGUGUAGCGGUGAAAUGCGUAGAUAUUGGGAGGAACACCAGUGGCGAAGGCGGCUCACUGGACCGGAACUGACGCUGAGGCGCGAAAGCGUGGGGAGCAAACGGG